rnacentral:tRNA from 1 species
GCCCCAGUAGCUCAAUUGGAUAGAGCGAGGCACUCCUAAGGCCGCGGUUGGGGGUUCGAGUCCCUCCUGGGGCGCCA